UACGAAGGGUGCAAGCGUUAAUCGGAAUUACUGGGCGUAAAGGGUGCGUAGGCGGUUCGUUAAGUCUGUCGUGAAAUCCCCGGGCUCAACCUGGGAAUGGCGAUGGAUACUGGCGAGCUAGAGUGUGUCAGAGGAUGGUGGAAUUCCAGGUGUAGCGGUGAAAUGCGUAGAGAUCGGGAGGAACAUCAGUGGCGAAGGCGGCCAUCUGGGACAACACUGACGCUGAAGCACGAAAGCGUGGGGAGCAAACAGG
rnacentral:rRNA from 1 species